CAGGUCGGCAGAGGAGCAGGGGAGAGGGCGCGGGAAUUCUGUGUGGCCAGGUUGCUGUGUCCCAUAACUAGGGUUCCGUCAUCCUCUGCAGUCGGGAAGUGUUUCCUGACAGUCUUGGUCCAAGACUGCGGAAUGAGGAGUCCAGGCUGGGUACCGAUUCAAGCCCCCACCCUGGCCUCAGUCCUCUUUCCCCACCAAGGAUGGCUUCUGUCUCUCGAAGUUGGUGGUGUUUGGACUUUAUCUCUUUUUGCUUUGAGGAGGUACUGUGUGUGAGCACUCGCUGGCCUGCAAAGGGAUCUGUGCAGAGCGCCAUGUGUUAAGAGGAUGGGCGAAUGAGAGCUUGGAGAUACCCGAGGUGUGGUCCUUGCCCGCGUGACAGGUUGGAGGUCCAGGUGAGAAAUCAGGGUUGAAAAUUUCAUGGAGGAUUCAUCAUUUCUGCCCUGAAUCGGAACCAAUUCUUCAUUGGCUUAUUACUGUAUUAAAAGUGUUGUAAUAAACUAUGGUAUUUGUUUGGGUUAGACCUUUGUUAUGAUAGGUUUUACCAGAGCUUGUAAAAGACCAUGAUCUUUCCUUUUGGUAUAUGUGAGCAUUAAUAUUUUUAGUCCACAGGAUGGUCUGUCCAUUUUAAAAGCUAAUAAAGUUGUUUCAUCUUCCUGGUGCCAGAGAA